rnacentral:tRNA from 1 species
GCUGCCGUGGCUCAGUUGGCUAAUGCGCCUGUUCAGUAAACAGGAGAUCACGAGUUCGAAUCUCGUCGGUGCCU